AGAAGCAUGUAGUUGAACCCUCCACCUCCUCCAAAGGGUAUUUUAACAGUUCAGAAACAAUUAUUGGAACACGUUCCAGAAGCCCAAGUUCUGAAGUUGUUAGAAUUUCUCAUGAGGAAUCCGAGGAGUCUCCUGCAUGUGUCGGCCCACGAGGACUCCCAGGAUAGGCCUUCCAAAGAGCCUGAACCACGUCCCACGCCUCGGCCAACAAGAGGAAGAGGUGUCAGGAUUCGUGGCAGAGGACGUGGACACAUUUUAGUGUGAAGAAAAUUAGGGCUCAGACCCUGGGCAUGGACCCUACUCCAUGGAAACCCCUAUUCCCAGAUUCUAGAAAGAAGAAUAGACUCCUUGUGGCCCCCAGAGGACCCC